rnacentral:lncRNA from 10 species
AUUGGCUUUCCUGAACGUAAGAAAAAGAAUCUUCAGAGAAAAAGGAAAGAGGAAGAGGGGAGGGGGCUCAGAAAACAAUAACAGCAGCCUAUCUACAUUGUGCUUUACAGUCUACAGUGUGCAUUCAUAUUUAACACUUUGGACUGAACAUUUGACACUUUGGAGUGAAUAGAUAUAAUUAUCCUCAGUUUACAGGUGGGAAAAUGAAGGCACAGAAAAGGUAAGAGAUGUGCUCAAGGUUUUACAACUCAGAUUCAAACCAAUCCUUUUGACUAAAGGCUUCAAAAAAUGUAUUUUGACUAAUCAGAGAACUUAUCUUUACAUUUGUAUUGCUAAUUAUAACCCACAUACCAUAUAUAAAAAACUGAAAGUACAACUUGGAAAUGAUUGUAAAGCAACCCCCAUGUAAUUCCUUAGGGAAAGAAAUAAAACACUCUCAACACCUGUGUACAUUUUCUUAAAUGUAGCCCUCUCCUCCACUAAGAGUAACCCUCUUCUGACUUCCAUGGUUCGCUUUGUAGUUUUUCCACCCGUGUUCUGAAAUAACAGUUCAGUUUUGCCUAUUUUUGAAUGUUAUUCAAAUGAAAUCAUACAGUAUGUGCUAUUUUAUAACUGGCUGAUUUUGAUCAAUAUAAUAUGAGUGUGUGUCACCCACAUUGUAGCAUUAGUUGUAGUUCAUUAACACUUCUGCAUAGUAUUUCAUUGCGUGAAUACACUAUAAUUUAUUUAUCCCUUUGUAUUGUUGAUGGAUAUUUAUGUUGCUUCUAGUUUUUGCUCUAAGGAAUGCUGCUAUGAGCAUUUUUGCACAUGGGUCUUUUACACAUAACUUAUAUUUCUGUAAGGCAUAUAGAUCUAACAUUGGAAUGUUGUGUUGUAAGGUAUCUCCAAUUUUGCUAGAUUACUCCAAAUUUUUUUCCAAAAUGAUUGAUCGUAUCAAUUAACAGCCUUUUAUUCCACACUCAUUCAGAAUAUGAGAUUUCUCAUUGUUUCAUUUUAUCUUUCCUUUUUUAUGACAUUCCUGCUGUCAUUUGCACAUAUAUUGGGUUGUCUUACUUUUUCAUAUUACAUCUUUGUAGUAAUGCUUUCUGUGUCCUUAGAAGGAUCCCUUUGUUGGUUAUAUUUUUUCAACUAUAUUCUUUCAUCCUGUGACUUACCUUUUACAUUUCUUAAUAGUUCUUUAAAUGAAAAUAAAUUCUUAAUUUAAAAAGUCAAAUUUAUUCAUUUUUCCCCUUAUAGUUAGUGCUUCUUAUGAAAUUAAGAAAUAUUUUCUUGUCCUGAGAGCAUAAAUAUAUUUGUUUUUUGAGACAGAGCUUUGCUCUGUCACCCAGGC